GUGUUUCGCUUCGCCAGCACAUAUAUUAAAAUUGGAAUGAUACAGAGAAGAUUAGCAUGCCCACUGCGCAAGGAUGACAUGCAAAUUUGUGAAGCAUUCCAUAUUUUU